rnacentral:lncRNA from 1 species
AUGAAGUGUUGCACAUUUGGACGUGAGCGGGAUGCGGUCUGCGCAGCGUCGAUGUAUUGGAAGUGAUGGGAGCGGCCAAGCAUUAAUGUUGGAAGGCGCGUCCAGCAUGCUGGAGGUAUGUGUGGCUGACCCUGCAGCUGGGGAAAAGUUCUUCAGAGCCCAUACCCGAUGAGAGGACGCGUCUGUGUAUAUGUGCAUAAAUGUGUACGUGUCCUGGCCUGCUGGCGCGGUGUUAAUAGUGAUCAGUCCAGUAUGUGGGCUACAACGCGUGUCAACGCCUCCCUUCCAUUCUUUCUUUGCUUCGCUGAUAAGGUGAUGGUGGGUGGAGCGCCCCUUUUGCCCCCGGGCGCUGGCACAUCGCGUAGGAAGGCGUUGAAUCGUGGGUCUCUUUCAACAGCACCAAAGCAGACUCGACCUUCGCGUUUCGCCACGCCUUGCCAUGGCUGUUCGUAGGAAGCGGUCAGUUGGGGCCGUUAAUGGUGCGUUCAGGA